rnacentral:ribozyme from 1 species
GGUGACAAGUUUGGGGCCAUAGCAGAACUGCUCAUGGUGCAGCCCUCUCAGAUUCCAAUGAAUCUGUGAAUUCUGCU